GUUUCCUUUCCUUUUCAUCCUGUACACUGGGUAAAAUAAUGCAUAGAGUUUAGACUAUUAUUGAGGUAGUGGCUAGUAAUAGGCCUAAAGUUGAUCUGAACCAAAAUUCUGACCGCAAUUCCGAUGAGCUGAACACCAGCGUCCCCAUUCUUACACACUAAGCUACAUUUAAAGUACACUUCACACUAUAAAUUGGUUCAGUUCAUAAUCUCUGUGAAUGCAGUAGUAGAGUAUGUGUAUCAGGCAGUUUUCCUGAUGGCUAUCCAAUUAAAUGUGGUGUUCCUCCCCAGGGAUCAGUUGCAGGUUCGCAAAUUAAUGCCUAUUUAAAGCCGGUGACUCAUAUUUUUAAGCACUUUGGUGUUUUGUAUCAUAUCUAUGCUGAUGACACACAAUUGUACGUUAGUUAUCACUUAAAAGUACCUGGUGAAUGCUGGAAAAUAAGUUGAAGCUUAAGAAUCGCACUCCAAUGUACAGCUUCUUCAAAAACAUCAAAAUCGUGACGCAAGGCUGGUUUAUCGGCGCGCAAAAAAAAUUUGCCAUUGCUAUGAGAACUUUACCGGUUGCCAGUCCAGCAGAGAAUAGACUUUAAUACUGCAUGUGUACAAUAGUGUUCAUGUAAUAGGCCCAACAUAUUUUAUUCAAAAUAUGCUUAAAAAGUUUCUGCCUGGUCGUUUAGGUCUGAGGUCCUCUGAUGAUCCCCUACGACUUGUAGUUCCCAUUACAAAAAGAGAUUUUAGUGAAAGUGCUUUUUCUGUGAUUGGUCCAAAGUUAUGGAAUUAUUUCCCCUAUGAGAUCCGCCAAUCUUUUCUAAAGCAGUGGGGAAGGGUCACCUGACUAUUGACCUUCAACCUGAUGGUGAACGGACUCAAAAUGAGGUUGAAAGAAUGGAUGUGUGGGAUUAGGUCUGUGAAACACAAUUGAAGCCAUGGAAAUGUCUGAGCAGUGUCUCUUACUUCUGGUGAGUCCAUUAAUGAUGUUGAAGAAACAAACAGUGGUUUGGGAGACAAGGCCUGUAGCCAUUGUGUGAUGACAGGAUGUGUGGCCUGUAGAUCUGAAGAUUCUCUCCACAGCCAUGUAAUGCACAGUGACAGACAAAGCCCACCUGGCUAUUGACCUUUAACCUGAUGGUGAACUUACUCAAACUGAGUUGGUGGGAUAGAGUGAAACAGAAUUAUAAGCCAUGGAAACGUGCGGACAGCUGCAUGUACGUUACCUUGAAAUGCUCGGUACUCAACGUCAGUGAUGCAGACUGUGACCAUCAUUGGAAGAGCAGCAGUCCUGUAAUAAUCCAAAUGGGUAACACUUGGCUGGCUGGGGGUCAUGACCCCACUACAUAACUAAAAAGACAAAUCAAAUGAAGCUUAGUCACACACCGGGUUGGAAACAAUGUUUACAAGGGCACCCUCAGCCAUCAAAGUCUGUUACAGAAAGGUAAAUGUCAUUUAGUCUUUAUAAAUUGCACAGAUGGAAAUUUUA